GGGAACGUGCCUUCUGGUUCGGAAUAACUCUGGGAAACUAGGGCUAAUACCGGAUACGCCCUUAUGGGGAAAGGUUUACUGCCGGAAGAUCGGCCCGCGUCUGAUUAGCUAGUUGGUGGGGUAACGGCCUACCAAGGCGACGAUCAGUAGCUGGUCUGAGAGGAUGAUCAGCCACACUGGGACUGAGACACGGCCCAGACUCCUACGGGAGGCAGCAGUGGGGAAUAUUGGACAAUGGGCGCAAGCCUGAUCCAGCCAUGCCGCGUGAGUGAUGAAGGCCUUAGGGUUGUAAAGCUCUUUUAUCCGGGACGAUAAUGACGGUACCGGAGGAAUAAGCCCCGGCUAACUUCGUGCCAGCAGCCGCGGUAAUACGAAGGGGGCUAGCGUUGCUCGGAAUCACUGGGCGUAAAGGGCGCGUAGGCGGCGUUUUAAGUCGGGGGUGAAAGCCUGUGGCUCAACCACAGAAUGGCCUUCGAUACUGGGACGCUUGAGUAUGGUAGAGGUUGGUGGAACUGCGAGU
rnacentral:rRNA from 1 species